GACGUGACACGUUCAGUGAGACCUUCGGCAGGGGCUUUUUUCAACAACUCGCCAGGGAACGACGUCGAUUAAUUCGCGUCCUCAGUCUAGUGGCGCAUAUUGCUGGGUCCACGAGUUUCCUGAAAACGUAAAGAUCGAAAACUUGAAGAAUAUGUUAUUGAAGCAUGCGGUAUGUAUGGAGAAGAGAGACGUGGAGGCUAGUACUUGCUAGCAGGAAGAUAUCGAUUACUUUAUGAAUCAGUGGUACACUGCAUCGCGAAUCAUUUCCAAGCCACUUACGUCAAGAAUCGCACCGGCAAACUUUCGAAGGAGUCGCUCUGAAACGACGACAGAGAAUCCGAAAACUUCGUACGAGGAGUCCCUGAGCUCUGAUACCUGCACUCCGUGCCUCCAGGCCGUGAAUCUACAGUGCAUUCGGGAACGUAAUCGAGAGGCAGGAACAAGGCAGCCUGUUCAGUGUACCAGGUUCAUUGAGCACGAGUCCUUCGAAGGUGACCGCUGCCCAGCUCCCGUCAAGGCGCUGGGUCAACCAGCACGCAGUCAGCCCUAUUUGCUUCCACAUCCAUAGCGCCAGGUGUCGCACAGUGGCAUAUCAUAUCAAACGGACAUGAACUGCGUUUCAAGAGGAAAAAACCCUGCCGAGAUGCCAGACGUGGAGACGCAGGCUCGCAUCCCGGAUCUCGACUACGAAACAAAUUCUAGUCGGCAAGUUUCAGGGCUCUGGUGCUGUUUGACAAAGUGCAUCCGCGCUGACAGACUAUCUGAGGGUAAAGCGCAAAGCGUCUUAGUCUAGACGAGACAACCGUUGGUAGUGCAAACACGACAUAGUUGUUGCCGGAAAAGCAAAGCUCCGCGAAAGCACUCGCGUCCCUGGCAACAUUGCGAUCGACGUUUCGCGAGCUGUCGCGUUCGAUGAACAAACGAAAGUUGCGUCGUUCGCGAACGUCAAGUCCUCAGUGGAAACUGCGUUACUCGACCAGAACGAAAGUUUUUAUAGGUAAAAGAGCAAGAC